GUGGUGGAACUGAGUGGCGCCAAGGGUGCACGUAACACGUGGAGCAACCUGCCCCUGACUCUGGGAUAAGCGCUGGAAACGGCGUCUAAUACUGGAUAUGUGACGUGACCGCAUGGUCUGCGUUUGGAAAGAUUUUUCGGUUGGGGAUGGGCUCGCGGCCUAUCAGCUUGUUGGUGAGGUAAUGGCUCACCAAGGCGUCGACGGGUAGCCGGCCUGAGAGGGUGACCGGCCACACUGGGACUGAGACACGGCCCAGACUCCUACGGGAGGCAGCAGUGGGGAAUAUUGCACAAUGGGCGAAAGCCUGAUGCAGCAACGCCGCGUGAGGGAUGACGGCCUUCGGGUUGUAAACCUCUUUUAGCAGGGAAGAAGCGAAAGUGACGGUACCUGCAGAAAAAGCGCCGGCUAACUACGUGCCAGCAGCCGCGGUAAUACGUAGGGCGCAAGCGUUAUCCGGAAUUAUUGGGCGUAAAGAGCUCGUAGGCGGUUUGUCGCGUCUGCUGUGAAAUCCCGAGGCUCAACCUCGGGCCUGCAGUGGGUACGGGCAGACUAGAGUGCGGUAGGGGAGAUUGGAAUUCCUGGUGUAGCGGUGGAAUGCGCAGAUAUCAGGAGGAACACCGAUGGCGAAGGCAGAUCUCUGGGCCGUAACUGACGCUGAGGAGCGAAAGGGUGGGGAGCAAACAGGCUUAGAUACCCUGGUAGUCCACCCCGUAAACGUUGGGAACUAGUUGUGGGGUCCAUUCCACGGAUUCCGUGACGCAGCUAACGCAUUAAGUUCCCCGCCUGGGGAGUACGGCCGCAAGCUAAAACUCAAA
rnacentral:rRNA from 1 species